GUGGACGGGAUAAGUGCUGAAAGCAUCUAAGCAUGAAGCCCCCCUCAAGAUGAGAUUUCCCAACUUCGGUUAUAAGAUCCCUCAAAGAUGAUGAGGUUAAUAGGUUCGAGGUGGAAGCAUGGUGACAUGUGGAGCUGACGAAUACUAAUCGAUCGAAGACUUAAUCAAAA
rnacentral:rRNA from 1 species